UUAAAUUGAAGAGUUUGAUCAUGGCUCAGAUUGAACGCUGGCGGCAGGCUUAACACAUGCAAGUCGAACGGUAACAGGAAGCAGCUUGCUGCUUUG
rnacentral:rRNA from 3 species